GGAAGGGUGCAGCUCAGGGGUAGAGCUCAUGCUUGGAAUGCACGAGGUCCUGGGUUCAAGCCCCAGUACCUCCA
rfam:Camelus ferus unplaced genomic scaffold scaffold1408, whole genome shotgun sequence.